rnacentral:tRNA from 1 species
AGGCGCUUAGCUUAGUCAGGCCUAAAGCACUGGUCUCAUAAGCCAGCUAUCGUGGGUUCGAAUCCGACAGCGCCUA